AACGCUAGCUACAGGCUUAACACAUGCAAGUCGAGGGGCAGCAUUUCAGUUUGCUUGCAAACUGGAGAUGGCGACCGGCGCACGGGUGAGUAACACGUAUCCAACCUGCCGAUAACUCGGGGAUAGCCUUUCGAAAGAAAGAUUAAUACCCGAUGGGGUAAUUAGACCGCAUGGUCUUGUUAUUAAAGAAUUUCGGUUAUCGAUGGGGAUGCGUUCCAUUAGGCAGUUGGUGAGGUAACGGCUCACCAAACCUUCGAUGGAUAGGGGUUCUGAGAGGAAGGUCCCCCACAUUGGAACUGAGACACGGUCCAAACUCCUACGGGAGGCAGCAGUGAGGAAUAUUGGUCAAUGGGCGCAGGCCUGAACCAGCCAAGUAGCGUGAAGGAUGACUGCCCUAUGGGUUGUAAACUUCUUUUAUAUGGGAAUAAAGUUUUCCACGUGUGGAAUUUUGUAUGUACCAUAUGAAUAAGGAUCGGCUAACUCCGUGCCAGCAGCCGCGGUAAUACGGAGGAUCCGAGCGUUAUCCGGAUUUAUUGGGUUUAAAGGGAGCGUAGGUGGACAGUUAAGUCAGUUGUGAAAGUUUGCGGCUCAACCGUAAAAUUGCAGUUGAUACUGGCUGUCUUGAGUACAGUAGAGGUGGGCGGAAUUCGUGGUGUAGCGGUGAAAUGCUUAGAUAUCACGAAGAACUCCGAUUGCGAAGGCAGCUCACUGGACUGCAACUGACACUGAUGCUCGAAAGUGUGGGUAUCAAACAGGAUUAGAUACCCUGGUAGUCCACACAGUAAACGAUGAAUACUCGCUGUUUGCGAUAUACAGUAAGCGGCCAAGCGAAAGCAUUAAGUAUUCCACCUGGGGAGUACGCCGGCAACGGUGAAACUCAAAGGAAUUGACGGGGGCCCGCACAAGCGGAGGAACAUGUGGUUUAAUUCGAUGAUACGCGAGGAACCUUACCCGGGCUUAAAUUGCAUUUGAAUAUAUUGGAAACAGUAUAGUCGUAAGACAAAUGUGAAGGUGCUGCAUGGUUGUCGUCAGCUCGUGCCGUGAGGUGUCGGCUUAAGUGCCAUAACGAGCGCAACCCUUAUCUUUAGUUACUAACAGGUCAUGCUGAGGACUCUAGAGAGACUGCCGUCGUAAGAUGUGAGGAAGGUGGGGAUGACGUCAAAUCAGCACGGCCCUUACGUCCGGGGCUACACACGUGUUACAAUGGGGGGUACAGAAGGCAGCUACCUGGUGACAGGAUGCUAAUCCCAAAAGCCUCUCUCAGUUCGGAUCGAAGUCUGCAACCCGACUUCGUGAAGCUGGAUUCGCUAGUAAUCGCGCAUCAGCCAUGGCGCGGUGAAUACGUUCCCGGGCCU
rnacentral:rRNA from 1 species